AACGAACGCUGGCGGCAUGCCUAACACAUGCAAGUCGAACGAGACCCUCGGGUCUAGUGGCGCACGGGUGCGUAACGCGUGGGAAUCUGCCCUGGGGUGCGGAAUAACUCGGAGAAAUCCGUGCUAAUACCGCAUAAUGUCUUCGGACCAAAGAUUUAUUGCCCUGGGAUGAGCCCGCGUCGGAUUAGCUAGUUGGUGAGGUAAAGGCUCACCAAGGCGACGAUCCGUAGCUGGUCUGAGAGGAUGAUCAGCCACACUGGGACUGAGACACGGCCCAGACUCCUACGGGAGGCAGCAGUGGGGAAUAUUGGACAAUGGGGGCAACCCUGAUCCAGCCAUGCCGCGUGAGUGAAGAAGGCCUUCGGGUUGUAAAGCUCUUUUGGCGGGGACGAUGAUGACGGUACCCGCAGAAUAAGCCCCGGCUAACUUCGUGCCAGCAGCCGCGGUAAU
rnacentral:rRNA from 1 species